rnacentral:tRNA from 1 species
UGUCAGAAGUGCGAUUCGAACCCACGUCCACAAGAGUGGACUGCGUCCUGAACGCAGGGCAUUAGACCGCUCGACCAUCCUGAC